rnacentral:rRNA from 1 species
UACGUAGGGUGCGAGCGUUAAUCGGAAUUACUGGGCGUAAAGCGUGCGCAGGCGGUGAUGUAAGACCGAUGUGAAAUCCCCGGGCUUAACCUGGGAACUGCAUUGGUGACUGCAUUGCUCGAGUAUGGCAGAGGGGGGUGGAAUUCCACGUGUAGCAGUGAAAUGCGUAGAGAUGUGGAGGAACACCGAUGGCGAAGGCAGCCCCCUGGGCCAAUACUGACGCUCA